rnacentral:lncRNA from 1 species
AAGUUCACUUUUAAAGUCACCGGCGCUUAAGCAUUUUCAACAAAUAAAGUAACCAACAACAUCACCUUCCAAACAAAAGUCUACUAUUAAAGUCUCCGGCAGUUAAAUAUUUUCAACAAAUAAAGUAACCAAUAACAUCACCUUCUAAAUAAAAGUUCACUUUUAAAGUCACCAGCACUUAAGCAUUUUCAACAAAUAAAGUAACCAAUAACAUCACCUUCUAAAUAAAAGUUCACUUUUAAAGUCACCAGCACUUAAGCAUUUUCAACAAAUAAAGUCACCAACAACAUCACCUCCUAAACACUAGUUCACUAUUAAAGUUACCAAAGCUUAAACUUUUUCUACUAACAAAGGUACUAACGAAACUAAUUCACUAUUAAAGUCCCCGCACGUUAAGCAUUUUCAACAAAUAAAGUCACCAACAACAUCACCUUCUAAACACUAAUUCACUAUUAAAGUCACCGGCGCUUAAGCAUUUUCAACAAAUAAAGUAACCAACAACAUCACCUUCUAAACACAAGUUCACUUUUAAAGUCACUGACACUUAAUCAUUUUC